rnacentral:lncRNA from 1 species
UUAACGCGACAACUCCGAUAACUUACAUACUGAGAGAUACAUAAACCACUUCAGAACUAUAUUAUUCUGAGCAACUAUAAUACAUGUAUGUUUCAUUCUAAAACAACAACCCAUAACCAUGGCCGACCUCGUAUGAUUCCUUGGAGAACCCAGACUCGUACUGAAACAUUCAAACACCAUUUGGGUUCAACCAGAGUACAAUCCUGAUACAUUGAAACAUCUACAUCAUUCUUUCCCAAAAAUAGCCAGAUCCAAACGCUAAAGCUCAUGGAUUUUGAUCUUGUGUCAAAGAAACCCAACCUUCAUGACUUCUAGCAAUUAAACGUGUACCUUUCUUGUUCCUGUAGUGAACUCUGAAUGUUUCUGUAACAUACUUUCAGUAGCCCUGCUACUAUCA